AGCAGAAUGGUAUAGUGGUUUGAGCAUUGGACUACAACUCUAGAGGCCAGGGUUCAAAUCCUAUCUUGGCCA